GAACCACUUUUCUGUACAUGCAGGAAAGUCAAGGCCAUACGGACAGCCGGGUUCACUGCCGA
rnacentral:sRNA from 12 species